GGACAUAAUAGCGCUAAAUUGAAUAAAUUAUUUAAUAAAUGUAUUUAAAACUUCCUUACUAAGAUAUUGAAUGUACUCAGUAAAAUUGUAAAGUUUAUUUGUUAAUUAAGUUAAUUUGGUCAUGUGAACUGUUCUGGUUAUUUUACUUCUUAUAAUCAAACAAUUUACUUGAUUUGAAUAAAACCAAUUAACCUGCUUGUUACACAUGGAUUUUUGAGGUUGCACCAUUAAAUAAGUUUUUACACUGCAGAAAGUGUCUAGAUGUGCUGAACAAAAAUCUGUUUGAUUACAGUUCAAAUGGCCACUCAGUUCACACUUGUAUAAAGUAAGACAUAUAAGCUUGUGUGUGUUUGCUGCUCCCACCUGUACACAGAUGUCAUCCAUCUGAAGAGAGACACUUUAAACACUAAACACAGAGUUGUGUCUGAGUGAUCUUCUCGUCUGCCUUCCCCUACCAUUCUACCUACCAGCCUACCAUUCAUAGCAGUCCCAGCAGUCGCUGUUGUGUAGUUUCAUUUUGUGGUGACAGAUCGCAUUUCAUCUUUCUUUGUAGUACUUUCUUAUUUUACAGCCACUUUUUUCAUUUUAAAUGUUUUCUUUUUGAUUUCUUGCCCUCCAUCAACUUCCUCAGUUUCUUCGGCAUUUUGGCCCAAUUAAAACCGGAUGCGUCCCCUUCACAUUUGUUAUACUGGAAUUGAUGGCAUUCCAGAUUAUCAUCGAGUGUACAAGCCUUUAAACUUAACAAUACAAUGAGUAAUGCAUAUAAAUAUGUUUAUAUAUCGUGCAUGCUUAUAGUCAGCAGACACAUUCAUAUUUUCUGGACAAACAGCUCUUUGUGAAUAUAACCCAUCAGCAGUAAAGGUGGAGCGUUCGUGGACGUUGGAGUUCAUUCAGGUGUGCGCAUCUAAUGAGGAGACGCCGGUUCAGGUGUGUUGGAGUCGGAUGACAGUGGAGAUCAGCACAGCACCUGACACUCGUCCUCAGUACACAAAGAAGAAGAGAGUUCACAGUUCAGAGAGAAAACCAGGGCAAACACCAUCAUCACAAAACAAAACAGCCAAGCCACUGGAGAGGAAUAAAGCUGGAGAGGCUGGAACAGGUCGAUGCUGAGCUGUACUGUAGCUGCAGUGUAAACCAGCGUUAGCUACAAACCAACACUAGCAGAUGUGUUUCAGUAGCUUUCUUGGACACUAACAUUAGUGGGUUAUGCUUGAACAACGCCAUGGUGCUUCACCGUCUUUAUGAGCUUUAGUGCAUUUUAUUCAGUAUGAGCGGAAUCUGAACACAUCCGCUUUGUUAGACGACUGAAAGAAAGCUGUCGCACGUUAGCCAACUAGCUAGUGAACUAGCGCGACUGGAAAAGCUGCCGAGCACCAGCUGACUGUCUGCGGAUUACAGUGCAGAUCAGCACAGCCGCUUUCUCCUGUUGUUUGAAGUUUAGCUCUUCGAUUCGUUUGCUGUAGGUCUUUAUCUGGCUUUUAUUCCCCGUCUACGUACGUCAAGAAUGUAAAAGUGAGAUUUAAGGGGCGAAAUUAGCAGCCACACCCGAGCGACCGAGCUAGCUCGCUAAAUCGCUCGCUCGUCUCGGUCAUUUCUGUGUAAAACACAGAGUGUCUGACUAGAUGACAUUAACAUGGAUGAUUAAAUGCGCCCAGCUAGCUUGUAUGCACGUCUGGAGUGGUGCUUUACAACUCGAGGUUGACCGUAUUGAUGUAUGUCUGUGUUGUCUGUUGUCUGUAUUGCAGAUGCGCAGCGGUCUACCGCGUUCAUUGUAAGUGUUCACUAAGCAAACCACGACCGUGUCGGUACUGUUCUGUAUGUGGCACUGCUGUGUGUGUUCGUCUUUCUACAGUUUGGGUAUUGACCAACAAUUCAAGUAAGCAGCCUGUCAAAGUUUUAUGUGUGCGCAUGUCGUCUUUUGUCUCCGCAGACGUGCGUGCACACGAUGUUUGUCUCUUCCUCUCUUGUUUCCUUUUGGACAGAAUGGAUUACAAGCCUGCAUUUAAUCGAGAGACCUCCGGCGAGCUCACCCUCCAGCCUUCGCCCGAGGCCGUGGAGCAGUCCAACGCCUACAAGCGGCGGCCGGCUCCGUCUUGGGCUUGGAGCACCGAGAGGAUGAGGGAGGAGGCCAAGGACCAUGUGAUGGAGAGCAGGGGACGACCCCAGGAACGCCUGGCUGGUGCUGAGCGAGAGCACAGUCCAGUGCGGGCAGUACCGGGGUCAAACAUUUAAAUGGCUGCUGACCCACGACAUGGGAUACGCCGUCAUGGUGUUGGCGGCCCUUCAAUGGGAGCACGAGGGUGAAGAGACUUUGAUGUUGCCUGCUAUGGUCAACAAGGAUGCCCUGGUCCAGGACGCGAGCCUCUUUCCAGAUGUAAUGAGAGCCAUCGGGGAGCGCCGGACCAGGGACGGGUCCUCCUCUCCUGGGCGGGAGAAACAGCGUCUCGUCGGCUUCGGGGAACACCAGAGUGUCUCGUACAGGGACCUGUAUGAGGGUAAGCACAGGGAGAAGAGGAGGCAGGUGCUGAAUUCACGCAUGACAAACACAGCAGCGUUGGAACGUGGAACGUUUUGCGGUUACGUGUGAGGUUUUGUUAAUCCAGCCACGUCCAGCGGAUCCGGCGGCAGACGGUGAGGCCUGGGAGCAAGAUGGAGGCGCUGCAAAAGUACAUCCAGGGCAGAGACGGGAAGGAGAGCGGCCGGACACAGACGUGCUCCGCAACCGUGGCGACCACCUCCCCAUCUGUGCCUGCUCCGGCACCAGCGGCCCAUCUUCCAGGUGCGUGCAUGCGGGCGGGUGUGGGUGGAUGACCGAGUCAUUGAGUGCCUUUGAAUGUGACUCCUUUCUGGUGUCUGAAGUUGCUCCUUGUUUCCAUACGCAGGUGUCUCCAGCCAUUGGAGUUCCACAGCCAGCAGGCACGCACAGGAGCCUUCCGAUGCCGAGCUGCUGGCUGUGUCCAUGGAACCGGACACUGAAGAUGAGUUGUCCUGCUGAAUGGACUGAGUGAACUACACAAGUAUAAAAUAGAAGCUUCCUCUUCCUCUGCUCCGGAGGUCCCUGCCCCACCCCAGCACUCCCUGCCGACGGCUGAACCAGAAAAGCAGCCUUCGCAAACGCAGCCAGUGCCCACUGCUGAGAUGAGCAGCACCAGCCCCCCUCUGGUGCUUUUGUGGUAGGUUGAGGAAAACGCCAAGCCCAUGUUCACGAUGCAUCUGUUUGUUCGUUUAAGAUGACCAGUGGGUCAGCCGGACGCUCUUCACCAGAGUGCAGUCUGGGAGGCCGGCACUGACCAAGAAUCUGCGUCUGUGGUGGUCUCCUCCCGGACCCCGGCUGGUUUACCUGCAACCUCCGUCUUCGCCCGACGCUUUCUUCCACAGCGGACUGUUCCUGUGGAUGCCGUACCGCAUGUGGCCAUUCAAGCUGCUGUGUGCGUAGCCCGAGUGCCGUCGGCUGGGCCGUAAGUCGACGGCCUGUGGGCUGUACAAGACCGUCCGGAGGGUUGUACAGGCUUCUGUGCGUCAGGCUCAAGAAGCUUCUGGCCCCGGGCACUGACCCCAGCACCAUCGCCCGCCAGCUGCCCCCGAUGGUGCCGCUGCCCACUCCAAAACGGCUGCUGCAAGGAGCAAAUAGGAUGUGGAGAAGGGGCACGAGAAAACAUAAGUUUUAAUGAACAUACAGUGAUGACACAUCUAACACCACACUAAACACCUUUCAAACACCAACAACAUGUACUACAACACAAGAGACAUACACACACAAGACGAUCACACAUAAUACAGAACAGGUGGACGACAUUUAUUGUUCAUCAAAUAAAUAAUAACAAUCAAAGUAACAAGUGCAUCUUUUGUAAGCAUGUGUCUAAUUACCAGCAAGUCGCAAACAUGCUCAUUCACUUUAUUAAAGAACAAAGCAGUUUAAAUAGGCGUCCAUUCACUUUGUGCAACAGAAUGCAAAAUAAACUGCUGCCAUUCACUUUGGGAAGUACAAAGCAGAAUAAAUGAGAUGUAAAAUACUGUAUAAAU